GCCUAUUGACACCUUUCCACGAAGUUUCAUGAAAAUCGGGUCGGAAGUUUUUACAUAGUCUUUUGAGCCUUGGUAAAUCUGACUUUUGUCCUUGGUAAGUAUAUUUUUUCAUCUCUCAGUCUGUUACAAGUAGGCCUAGCCUAUUGACACCUUUCCACGAAGUUUCAUGAAAAUCGGGUCGGAAGUUUUUACAUAGUCUUUUGAGCCUUGGUAAAUCUGACUUUUGUCCUUGAUCUUUGUCUCUGAAAUCUAUAAUGGGGAGCACAAUCACCCAUGUGGCCAAUGCCUCGGGGAUGCCCAUCCGGGUUUACUACAGCGUGGAUAAAAUGCGGCUGGAGGAGCUGGUGAAUGAAGUCAAUGUCAGACAGGAUACCACGAGUCAAUCAACAAAGAUGAUUUUCAAAUCCGACUCCCGUGUCCGCUUCAUACUUAUUCCGGAAGAAGAGUUCGGCAAAAUUAUAGAAAGAGGGCCACUUUACGUCACCGUCUUGUUGGAGAGCAACGACUCCAGUAAUGAAUGCCUGAAGGCCAUCUCUGAGAACUUCUGCAUCCCCAACAACAGGUCCAUUAUUGUGACGAAAAAAGGCCACAUAAAGUGGCAGAAAUAUGGGGAAAACAUUUGGGAAGAUGAGCAAGGCAGAAGACACAAGUAGAGCAAAGUUGAGUAUUCAAUAAGGAUAGGAAUCAGAUAAUGUGAAUGUUUACAGUUUUUCUCCCUGCCACUGAAAAGUACUUCACAUAAUUAUUUUUGUAAUCAACAGGUUCAAGAAAUGACCAGUAGGUGGUGGUAGUGCACUUUGAACAGUUGUCUCUCAUACUCAAUGAAUAAACGCCAAAGAUACAGUCCCCAAAUCCUGAUGAAAGGUUGCUGAUAUGUAUGUUGUUGUUUUUUUGGAGCACACACACUGGAUGGAUAUCUUAACCCUUGUGCUGCCUUCGGGUCACAUGACCCAAAGGUUCAUAACGAACCAUCGUUGUGUUUACCCAAUUUUACCCAAUACAAAAACAAAUAAAAAUAUUUUUCUUUUAACCUUUACAAUGUGGGGGGUCUGAGAGAGCCCAACGGUUAAAAGAAAAUGCUUCACUUUGUUUUUGUAUGCGGUAAAUUUGUCGCAAUACGACGGUGGGUCACAAUGACUGAUGGGUCAGAAUGACCCGAAGAUAACAGGAAUUAAGGAAUUAAGGAUUAAGGAUUCCCCUCACAUUCCUUAAUUAAGGUUAAGGAAUGUGAGGGGAAUUUCGCUGAAUUGCAUGUAGAGCGGUGUAUUUCCCAUUCUAAAAGUUAAAAUAGAAUCAUUUUAACAAUUUGGAAAUAGUUUUUCAAUCAAACAAACAGGGAAAAAUAGUUUGGUGGAUAUAUUCUAAAACAUAAUUACUUACUAAUCAGUAGUAAAUGUUAAAACCUUCUCUAUACUGUUCUUACUCUUCUUUUCCCCAAAGGUUCACCCAUGUUUUUUCAAGAUUAGCCUUUAUUCUUAUACCCUAAGUAGGCCUACACCAUCUCUUGGUCAGUUUUUGGCACUUUCAGUUUGCAGUUUGUACAACUCAUUUACGUGUAACUGGGAAUACAUGAGAUUACAUUAAAUUCCACAGUUCCACAUGCAGAAUUCCCCUGCCAUUAAAUGAACAUCUCACUGUAUACAGCAUCCAAGCUCUGUUCAACAGGAUCAGAAUGCGCAAAUCGUUUUUCUAUUCAUUAUUCUCAUAAUGUCAGUGUAACUGACAAUUCCACAUAAGCCUGUAAAAAAGCACAUGGGGAGAGAACUACCAGUAGCUACCGUACAUGUACCAUACAUCUCUGCAUCCAUUUCUGCGGCAGCAAAUCUCUUUGUCAUCUUAAUCAUAAUCAUCAUCCCGUGAUGAAAAGCAUUCUGUUGGGGGUAACUGCUGCUACAAGUUGAAAUGGGCAUCAACUGAUAUUUACUUUGUAUCAUGUCGAAUAUGAUUAAAACCAAGGUGAAGAAAAAUAUG